rnacentral:rRNA from 1 species
GAUGAACGCUGGCGGCGUGCCUAAUACAUGCAAGUCGAACGCAUAGCGAAAGGUGCUUGCACCUUUCAAGUGAGUGGCGAACGGGUGAGUAACACGUGGACAACCUGCCUCAAGGCUGGGGAUAACAUUUGGAAACAGAUGCUAAUACCGAAUAAAACUCAGUGUCGCAUGACACAAAGUGAAAAGGCGCUUUGGCGUCACCUAGAGAUGGAUCCGCGGUGCAUUAGUUAGUUGGUGGGGUAAAGGCCUACCAAGACAAUGAUGCAUAGCCGAGUUGAGAGACUGAUCGGCCACAUUGGGACUGAGACACGGCCCAAACUCCUACGGGAGGCUGCAGUAGGGAAUCUUCCACAAUGGGCGAAAGCCUGAUGGAGCAACGCCGCGUGUGUGAUGAAGGCUUUCGGGUCGUAAAGCACUGUUGUAUGGGAAGAACAGCUAGAAUAGGGAAUGAUUUUAGUUUGACGGUACCAUACCAGAAAGGGACGGCUAAAUACGUGCCAGCCGCCGCAGUAA